AAUCAACGCUGGCGGCGUGCCUAACACAUGCAAGUCGAACGCGAAAGUCCCGCAAGGGAUUAGUAGAGUGGCAAACGGGUGAGUAACACGUGGGUGACCCGCCUUCGAGCGGGGGAUAACGUUCCGAAAGGAACGCUAAUACCGCAUAACAUCCUGCCUUUUAAGAGGCGGUGAUCAAAGCCGGGGAUUCGCAAGAACCUGGCACUUGAAGAGGGGCCCGCGCCUGAUUAGCUAGUUGGUGGGGUAANGGCCUACCAAGGCAACGAUCAGUAUCCGGCCUGAGAGGGCGGACGGACACACUGGGACUGAGACACGGCCCAGACUCCUACGGGAGGCAGCAGUGGGGAAUUGUUCGCAAUGGGCGCAAGCCUGACGACGCAACGCCGCGUGGAGGAUGAAGACC
rnacentral:rRNA from 1 species